rnacentral:rRNA from 1 species
CUACGGAGGGUGCAAGCGUUGUUCGGAAUUACUGGGCGUAAAGCGCGCGUAGGUGGUCUGUUAUGUCAGAUGUGAAAGUCCACGGCUCAACCGUGGAAGUGCAUUUGAAACUGGCAGACUUGAGUACUGGAGGGGGUAGUGGAAUUCCCGGUGUAGAGGUGAAAUUCGUAGAUAUCGGGAGGAAUACCGGUGGCGAAGGCGACUACCUGGCCAGAUACUGACACUGAGGUGCGAAAGCGUGGGGAGCAAACAGGAUUAGAUACCCGAGUAGUCC